UAUCUGUCCGCCGCAGGGGCUGAUGGGAGGUCUGAGGACCCGUUAGAAACCACGCGGCCCUCGUCUGAUCUCACAGCUCGUCCUUGUUUGGCCUCAGCUGCAUCAGAGCGCCACUUCUCCCCAGGUUCACCAGAGGAAACACCACUGCACACAAUGCUUUUCCUCCCAGCUGCUGCUCUGUGCUGUCUGUGUUCAGCGCUGGUUGCCAUGGCAGCAGACCUGAUUCAGGAGGAUUUAACAUUGACCAGGAGAGCUGGUCAAACUGUUUCCUUCAGCUGUCGAGGAACUGACCAGUGUGACAAUGAUUACUUAUACUGGUACCAGAAGGAAGACAUAGAAACAUUCACAAGGAUUCUGCGGAUUGCUAGGAGUAGUUGUAACAUAGCUAACAGGUACAAUCAUCCUCAGAAAGAUGAUUUCUCAGCUGUGAAUAAACAGAACGGCUGUGAGCUGCAGAUCCAGAAAGUUGAACUCUCUCAUUCAGCCACCUACUACUGCGCCUGUUAUAAGAGUGGUACCCACAUUAACCCGGUAGUGAAGCCCGUGGUGAGCGUGUACCCAGCAGCAUCCAGAGCCCACCUGGAGGGGAAGAGCUCCCUGCUGUGUGUGGCCUCAGGCAUGUUUCCUCCUCUGGUCCGGUUCUCCUGGAAAAGACAAAAGGUUAAUGGUCCUCUGGAGGAGCUGGCACCUGCUGAGGAGGAGCAGCUGGAGCAUUUCUUACUGUGUGACAUAUUAACACCUGUCCAGGGACAGCAGAUAUAA